rfam:Daphnia magna strain Xinb3 scaffold01581, whole genome shotgun sequence.
CAACCGGCCCUUCUCAGGGCCAUCAAAAUUAAAAGAAACUGAACU